rnacentral:rRNA from 1 species
GAUGAACGCUGACAGAAUGCUUAACACAUGCAAGUCAACUGUGGCGGACGGGCUAGUAACGCGUAAAGAACUUGCCUCACAGUUAGGGACAACAUUUGGAAACGAAUGCUAAUACCUGAUACUGUGAGAGAGCUUUGCGUCCCAUUAGCUAGUUGGAGAGGUAACGGCUCACCAAGGCGAUGAUGGGUAGCCGGCCUGAGAGGGUGAUCGGCCACAAGGGGACUGAGACACGGCCCGUACUCCUACGGGAGGCAGGAGUGAAGAAUAUUGGACAAUGGACCAAAGUCUGAUCCAGCAAUUCUGUGUGCACGAUGAAGUUUUAGGAAUGUAAAGUGAUUUCAGUUGGGAAGCGGUACCUACAGAAGAAGUGACGGCUAAAUACGUGCCAGCAGCCGCGGUAAUAC